ensembl:miRNA Mir6347 microRNA 6347
CAGUGCGGCUGGCUGGAGAUGCUUGGGCUAGGGCUCCGCCCCAGAAGUUCUGAAUCAGGAAUUCAGUGGCUGAGCCCCCUGCAGUCUUUCACAAGCUCACU